rnacentral:lncRNA from 1 species
UCCAAUUGAACGCCGCUGAGGGAUCAUUCGAGUGUUGCGCUGCGAGCAAUGUUUUCGAGCUUUGCUGCCGGGUAUGUUAUCGAGUUUUGCGAAUAAAUUGGUGUAGGUUCUUUUUUUUUUUUGAAGUUUCUAAGCUAGC